GGCAGUUAGGGCAACUGGAAGGCUGGGAGCUGAAAUCACCUGAAGUCUCAUUCACUCACAUGUCUGAUGGUUGAUAUUGUCUAUCAGAUUCUUUUUUGUCUCCUUCUCUGCAAGAGGCUGGCACCAGAUCACCUCCUGAGUAGAGCAGACAUUCCAAAGGAUGUCCUGCCAACAAUAAUGGAAAGCUGGAUACAACUGAAUAUGUAAAAUGG
rnacentral:lncRNA from 1 species